UUUUUUGAUAAUUUUUUUAAAAGCAUAUGAAUUUUUAAAGUUUUAUAGACCGAAAUUAAAUUUUAUUUAUACUGCUUCCAUUAAAAUUUAUUUGAAUUGAAACUAAAUUUUAUUUAUAUCACAGCGAUACAUAUAAAAGGUAAAAUAUUUCCAACAAAUAGGAUCAAAAUUCUCUAAGUGAGAAGACGAUGUGCAGGAAAUAUUUUUUGGUGGGACAGAAACUACAAGCGGCACCAUUGAAUGGACACUGGCGGAGCUGUUCCGCCACCCAGAAUCAAUGAGAAGAGUUAAAGAAGAGCUUAAUCGUGUAGUGGGGUCGAAGAGAAAAGUUGAGGAGAGUGACAUAGAUGAAUUGCCAUAUCUACGUGCAGUGAUCAAAGAGUCGAUGAGAUUACAUCCUGUAUUCCCAUUAUUGGUUCCAAGAAAUACCUUGCACGACACAAACUUCAUGGGAUACGAUGUACCUAAAGAUACACAAAUUUUCGUCAAUGCUUGGGCUAUAGGAAGAGACCCAGAUGCUUGGGAGGAUCCCUUGUCUUUCAAGCCUGAGAGAUUUCUACGUUCAGACAUUGACUACAGAGGACAAAACUUCGAGUUGAUCCCAUUUGGAUCUGGAAGACGAUUUUGUGCAGGCUUCCCAUUGGCUCACCGCAUGCUUCACCUUACUUUAGCCUCUUUGCUUCACAGUUUUGACUGGGAGCUUGGCAGUAAUUCAUCUCCAGAGACCAUUGACAUGAAAGAAAGGAUGGGUUUUACAGUGAGAAAGCUUAUCCCUUUGAAAGCAAUACCCAAGAAGAAGAUUACAGCAGAAUGAUCAUAUUGAAGAAUCUCUCCAUCUCUAGAAGUUUCUGUAGCUAGAUCAUUCAGCGGAAUAGUUUGGACAAGACAGCCAUUGUAGAAAUAUCUAGAACCACUACCAUUCAAGAAGCUUCAGGGAUCUUCGACAAAAAAUAAAUAAAUAAAUAAAGAGAAGCUUCAGGGAUCUUCGCAUCACACCCCUUUAUAACUUGUGGAGAAUCUUGCUUUGGCUGCCUAUAGGAAGUAGUUUAAAUAUGUGUUUGUGUGUACAAUGUUGUGCUUGUGAAUGUCCAAAGUCUUACAUGAAGUGUAUGUUUGUAAAAUGGAGUGUCCUAGAGAGUUGGUAAUUAGCCCAUGAAAAAAUAGUGAAUAAACUUUACAUAAUUAUUAGCAAGUGUACUGAGUAUGCUAAGAGAUUUGCAGAUAAGGUUCAAAAAUAAUGAGCACACAAGCUUAGUUUCAAUAAACUGUAACAUUUCUUACACAUUACUUCACAACCUUAAAGCAAGGACAGCCACGAACUCGUCUUAUAUAAAUUUAUUAAUGAAAAGGCUGCUCCUUUGGUCUUACUCUCGAUUUUUUUUUGUCAGAAAAAAUCGCUGAUGACAACAUUUUAUAAAAUUUCAUAAAAAAAACCAUUUUCACUUUAAAAUCCUGGCUUUCUCUAACUGAGAAAUGGAGUAUAAAAGAAAUGCAGAGAAAUGAACAUACUCUCUUUCUCCCUUAGCAUAAUCUUAAAACUUUGAUGUCAUUUGAUUUAGCAAUCAAACGACAAAGAAAGAAGGAAAUGACUGAUUAGUAAUGAUAAGCUUAAAGGGUCCCAUGAAAAUGUGAGAGUGAAAGAAGGGAGGUUGUGGGGGUAAAUUAUUGUGUGCACGUGGAGAAUCUUCUCAUCAUGCUGACGUGUUACUUUAAAUCAAUAGUCUUAUAACUUGUUAUUAAAAAAUUUCAAAUUUAAUAAAAUUAAAAUUAAUUUAUAUUCCAUGUAAGCAUAAAAUUUUUGUGGUGGUAUGUAUUUAGAAUUACUUAUAAAAAUUUUGAAAAACAUACUAUUUAAUUUUAUGAAAAAAUUUAUUAACUAAUUUUUUAUUUUAAAAGUUAAUUAAAAUAUUAUUGAUAUUUUAAAAAAUAUAUUAAUUAAUUUUUUUAUUAAUUAUAAUAGUUAAAUAUUAUAAAAAAAUUUAAAAUAUUUUGAACGUAAAAGAAUUAAUUAAUAGAAUUUUUAAAAUUUUAAAAAAUUAAUUAAUAAAUUUUUUAAAAUUAUAAAUACUAAAUAGUAAAAUAUUUAAUAAUUAAAAUUAAUAAAAUAAAUAAUAAACAUUUUAAAAUAUUAAAAAUAUUUUAAUAUAUUUUUUUAAAUUAAAAAAUUCUCUAAUGAGUUUUUAUAUAUUACAAAAAUUAAAUAAUAAUUUUAUAAAUUUUUUUUUAAUAAUUUGUUAAUAAAUUAUUGCUUGAUAUUAGGUCCUACAGCUUCAUGGGUCCACCAAAUAUCAAGCAAUUUAUCCUACAGCUGUAGCUUAGGACUCAUUACUCAAAAUUUUCACCUGCAAAGGAAGCUAGAUGCUAACGAAGAAAGGCAAUAACAAAUUCACUAUAAGAAAAUAAAAUUUUCAUGGAGAUUCUUUUUUCAGUACGAUUGUCAUUCACUAUUACAAUCUUUUGUGGCCACGAAAAAAAUUACUAUAAAAUUAUAAUUAGAAAUGUGAUAUAAAAGAUAAUAGUGGCGAAAUGUAUUUUGUUAUAAAAUAUAAUUUUUUUAUAAAAGAUUUUAAUUUCCCUCAAAAGGAAAAUAUUAAUAUUGGCAAACAUUUUUCAUAAAAAUGAUAUUUAUAAUAAAAAAAUUACUAAAAAACUAAUUACUGUCGGUGGCACGUAUUCUUCACUAAAUGCUAAAACUUUCAGUGGAAAAUUUUAUCUUUACAAAUUGAUAAAUUUUUAGUGGAUUGUCGAAGAGGUAAAAGAGAGCUUGUGAGUACAUAAAAAUAUGUCAUUCUUGUGUACUGAGAAUACAUAUAUAUUCAGAUAUAUAUAUUUGCGGUGGAUUUCUCGAUAAAUAUUAAGAAUUUUUUGAAAAAUAAGAGAACACUAUUAAAAAGUAUUGUGAUUAAUUGUAAAAUUUUAAUUUUUUUAAUAAAAUCUUAAAAUAAAAUAAUUAUUAUACAACUAUUUAUUAAAUAAUUAAUAGUGAUAACAUAUAAAAUAUAAGACCUUUUUCUAUUAUAACACGUUUUUUAAUGUCCGACCAAUUUUGACGAUCAAAAAAAUUGAUUUUAAUAAGAACUGAACCUAGCAUAAUCUGAUCCGAUCAUGAAAAAUUUUCAAUGCGAUAAUUGACUCCGCAUAAAUGUGUAUACCAUAGACGAAACCAAUGUAAAAUAAAUGAAUGGACAGAGUAUGAGAUAAUUGACUCCGCAUUUAUUAGUCGAUAGUAUAUCAUUAAUAAAUUUCUGACACAUCUAUUAAAAGACAUUCUUGUUUCGGUCUAAUAAGACGAACUAUAAACACAAUCAUAAUAUAUAUACCCUUGUAUUAAAUCAAAUAUAAUAUUUCUAGUUUCCUUGUAGAACCUCCUAUUUUCCUGUUUUCAUUUGAUAAAUAUACUGAAUUGAUUCAUCAAAUAACAAUUAAAAAUAUAUUAUUAUAUCGGUUUAAACGGUAGCUAUAACUCUAUGGCUAAAGUUUAAAAUCUGGUGAAGGAUCAUUUUGACCCUCUAAAUUUCUGGCAGUGUUUUGCUCUUGUUCUUUAAAACUUAUCCUAUAAUGUAUCCUUUUGUAUUUUCACUUUGUUCUGCAUUAGGAAAAUUCUACCCUAAAUUUCAUAAAAAAAUCAUUAUUCUUAAAAUAAAUAAUUAAAUUUAAUUAGUAAUUAUAAGCGUAUGUAACUGUAAAAAUACGUAAAAUCACUAACAAAAAUUAUUAACGAAAAAUAUUUUAGUAAAAAUAAUUGCAAUAUUAAUGGAAAUAAAAUUUUAUUGUAUAUACUAAUAAACUCAAUUUGGACUAGAAAAUCCAUUAGUGAAUAUGUUAGUAUCUGUUUUUAAUUCAUUAACAAAUUUUUUAUUUUUAUAAAUUUCGUUAUUAUCAUAUAAAUAAAAAUACAGUAACAGAAUAAUUUUUUCUAAUACUAUCACUAACGGAUUGAUGUUUGUUAAUAUCUUUUACAUCCCAUGAUUAUACCAGUGACUAAUAGAUUAAUUUUAAUCAAAUUUUUUUACCUAAAUUUAUUUCUAUAAUUGUUUUCAUAACUUUGUAACCCAAAUUUUUAAAAACAUAUGUCACAGCACUUCUAACUAAAUAUAUUUUUAUAAAUUUCUCAAUUCCUCACUCACAGUAGUCGUGGUCGCCUGUCACAAUGCUUACUUGUCUACCGGUCGGCUGCCAUCACCACUGCCUCACUCACUCAAAUUUUUAGAAACGCAAAUUCUUUAAUUCACAAUAGCUGUCGCCUGUUACACGCUAAGGGAAGAAGAUGAGGAGUGUACGAUUACUAAAGGCUCGGUAAAACAUGAUUAUGGGCUUCCUGAUUAUGCACCUCCAUGCCUUUGAUUCGGCCAUUUGGGUUAUUGCUAUCCGAAACUACCCAUACCCAUAGCUCUCAUUAAGACAUAGUAUACAUGUUUCACAUUCCUAACUUGGAUUUUCAUAAAGUGAGAGCACGCCACCCCCAUAUUUAAAACUUGCUCUAAUUUAUAAGGAUAACUUAUCACUUUGAGGCUAUAUAUCAAAUUAAUAAAAUUAUAAUACUCAUGAAAAAUUUUAAAAUUAUUUAAUAUAUUCAAUAAAUCGGUUUUAAUGUUCAGGGAUUGCUCCGAUGCAAUUGAGAAAGAUGUAUCACAAGCUUUCUGUGCAAGAAUAAUUACCCUUUUUUAAAUAUAAAUUCUACUUUACUUUUCCUUUUUUUUUUAAAAUUAUAUAAAUAAAACUUGACUUAUUAAUAUUAAAAAAUUAAAUAUUUAUUUAUUUUGGAGAUCUCAACAAUAAAUAACAUAAAAAGACGAUCUUUUCCGUUUAUCCAAUCUGUUUCUGUUGUGAUUUUAAAACAUUAUUUUAUGUCUCUACCCCUCUCUCUUUAAUGUUUUGGCAGAAAUAUCAGUAUAAGAUUUUUUCUUCUUUUUUCCAAAUUGUUUUCUGAUUUAAUUGAUUCUAAAUUCAUAAAAUUAUAUAAAAAACAUAGUUAUAGAAAAAGUGCAGGAAUCAAGUGUUAUGUUAGUAUGAUUUAUUAGCAAAGUUAUUAUAUACACUGAAAAUUUAUAUAUAUAUAUAUAUAUAUAUAUAUAUAAAGUUAAAAAUAUAAUUAUGACAUUUUAUCAAUAAUUUACAAAAUAAAAUUGAAAAAAAUUUAUUAUGAAUAAAAUGCAAAAUUAUUAUUCGUAAAAUAUCUCGAAUGAAACUCGUAAUUGGACACUCAAUAUAAAAGAUAUGGACGAACUUAGUAAAUUGUGUGCAUUUUUUAGUGGUUUGAAACCUUGAGCCCUCAAUGAAUUGAUGAGACGAAAAGUAAAGAAUAUGCAUUUCUGAGUGGUUUGAAACCUUGAGUUCUCAAUUAGUUGAUAAGACGAAAAGUAAAGACGGUCGCAGCUGAAAACUUAGAUGAUUAUGUUCGACUUUAAAAAGAAAAUUUAAUUAUGUAUUUCUCAGGAUAGUCGACCUAAUAAGUAGAAUAAGUCACAGGAGAGUAACUAGUUGGUCACUAGUGAUAGGACCCAAUUGGUUACCGUAGGUCUACUGAGUUCAUGUGUUAUGCCUCCAUCCCUUGUAGGGAUUCAUAUAUUUAUAAGUGGUGUGAAAAUUGUUGUGUCGAAUUGUGGAAUAACUGUUUUGUUUUGUUUUUGAAAUGAGUAACUCUUUUAUUAAAAUUUCUGUGUUUAUAUAUGAUAUUUGAAUUAUUUGUAUUAUAAUAUUUAUUUAAUACUGAUAUCUGCUUGAUACACAUAUAUUAUAUAUUGCUCGUCUUAAUAAUAUUUUCUUCUCUUAAUUAACCGACAUAUUUUAUUAUGUAAAUAUAUAAACCAAAAGUGACACGAUUCUAAAACAGUGUGAAAAUCUGAAUCAAUAACCUUGGUAUAAUAGUUAAUUAAUAAUUAAUAAUUUAUUUUUAUAAUUUAAUCGAUAAAUUUUAUAAUAUAAAUAUAACACUUGUACAUAUAAUUAAAUAAAAAAAUAAAAUUAUAAAAGACAAAAGUAUAUAUAUUUAUGAAUAGACAUGAGCAUGAAACCAGUGCAACAAAUAAUUUUAUUAAAAUACAUUAUCCUAUUCUUUAAAAUUUUUUAAAUUUCUCACCAUUUGAAGUGUUUGUUUUGUUAUACUCUCGAUAUAGUAUAUAAUUAUUCGAUUUAUAAUGAUUAUCAUUAUUCUAUUUUAUUGAAUAAAUGUACUUUUAAAAAUAAUUAUACUGGGACUAAAUAUUUUAUUUAAAAAUAUAUUUAAAUGUCAAAAUUAAAUAGUUUAAUCAUUGCUUAAAAAAAUUCUAAAUAGUAUUUUAGAUUAUUUAAUUUAUUUUAUAAAAUUUUAGAUAAUAAUUUAUUUGAUAUUAUUAAUUACAUAGUUAUAUAUGUGCAUUAAUUAAAUUAUCUUUUCAUAAAUAAAAUUACAUAGUUAUCAAAUAAAAUCCCACAAAGUAAGAAAAAACAAGUGUAUAAGAAGGAUAUUAUUAAUUAUAUAGUUAUAAAUAAAAGCCACCAAAUUAAUAAUAUUUAAAAAUAAAUAAAUUUUAAAAAUUAAAUUAUUAUAAAAGAAAUUAAUUUUUUUUAUUACAAAGAGAGAUAAAAGUCUAUCUCGAAACUAUAGCGUCAAAUAAAGUAAAAAAUAAUGAAAAGGAGAUGUUACCUGUUUUAUACGUAAAUGCUAAAUACUAUAUCUGCAAAAAAUCUCCUUUUUUAAUUAAUAUGAAGAAGAAGAAGAUAAUUAAUAUGAAAAGGAGAUGUUACCACGCUGCCAUGCUAUAACCCUGUAACGAUUUUUAAUAAGAAAAAUUAUUAUUUAGUGUAUAUAUUAUCAAAAAUUUAUUAGUUAUUUAUUUUUUCCUUAAAUAUUUUCUCAUUUAAUUUUUAUGCUUUUUAUAAAAAUUAUUAGUUAAUUUUUUAAAUUUUUUAUAAAUUUAUUAAUUAAUUUUUUCAUAUUAAAAAUAUUUUAAAUUUUUUUUAUAAUAUUUAAUGAUUAAAAUUAAUAAAAAAUUAAUUAAUAACUUUUUUAUACAUUAAAAAUAUUUUAAUAUAUCUUUUAAAAUUAAUAUGAAGAAGACAAAGCAGUUGAAAUUUUCACAAAUCUUCCGAUUACCGUCUUAGCUAUAUGGCAAUGGUGAGGUUUUACUCAACAAGAAAAAGGAUAACUUUUAAACAUCAACGUCACCUUGGAAUCUUAUGAAAUAUGUAAAAAAAAAAAAAAAAGGUGGAAAUCGUUUUGUGGAGGAGAAUUUGUCAUUGGUUAUUUUCUCUACUGCCCGGAAUAAAUAAAUUAUUGAUCUUUUUAAUUCUGUUUUUAGGUUUAUUCAUUGAUUUACUUUUCUUUAAAAAGGGUUCAUAUUAAGGUUUUAGUCAAUGAGUAAUUAAAAUUAAAGGGUAGAAAAUAUUAUUUUCAAUACUAUUAUUUUAUUAUUUUUAUUAUAAAAUUAUACUCAUUUUAUAAGAGAAGUAUAUAAAAUAUUACGUGCCUUUAUUUAUUUUCUAAAUUUUAGAAUUUAUAUUUUAAUUAAUAUUAAAUGAUAUUAUAUUAUUAAUAAAUAAUGAUAAAUAAAUCGGCAAGUUAAAUAUUAUAAUUAUUAAUUAAAAAAUAAAGUAUAAAAAAUAUCUUAUAAUUUUAUUUAUUUUUAUUUUAUAAUUCAAUUUGCCAUACGCUCAAACACUGACGUGGGGAACGAAAAGAAAUGGAUAGUCUGCUUGCUUGGUUUACUCUCUUCUUCCUUGUAGCCCUGGUUCUGCUGCUCAAACAGAGACGAUCAAGGUUACUUGGUGCCAAGAAACGACCACCGGGGCCUCCUGCUUGGCCGGUUGUUGGUAACAUCUUCAAUCUUGGAUCCGUUCCUCACCGGAAUUUAUACAGGCUUAGGCUCAAGUAUGGACCUGUAAUUUGGUUAAGACUCGGGUGCACUAACGGCCUUGUAAUACAGUCCGCCAAGGCAGCUGAAGAGCUGUUCAAGAAUCACGACGUUAGUUUCAGUGACCGGAAAGUUCCUGAAGCUUUCACAGCUCAUGAUUAUCAAAAGGGUUCGAUUUCUCUUGGAAGGUAUGGCUUCAAGUGGCGCCUUGUUCGCCGUGUUGUUACAGUGGAGCUCAUGACCCACAAGCGAAUCAACGACACUGCCUUGGUUCGGCGGAAGUGCAUCGACAAUAUGAUACAAAAUAUUGAGGAGGACGUAGCAGCAGCAGUUGCACGAGGAGAAACGGGGGAAUUGGCAGUAGCUCAUUAUGUCUUCGUAAUGGCAUUCAACCUGAUAGGCAACCUGGUGAUUUCACAGGAUCUUUUGAAUUCUCAUUCGAAAGAGGGGCCUGAGUUCUUUGAGGCCAUGGACAAGGUCAUGGAGUGGAGUGGGAAGCCAAACGUAGCUGAUUUUUUGCCAUUUUUGAAAGGGUUGGAUCCCCAGAGGAUCAAGAAGAAGAUGGAGCGAAACCUGGGACGAACUCUGAAAGUAGUGGAUGGGUUCGUCAAGAAGAGGAUUGAAGAUAGGAAAUUAAUGAAAAGAAGAGAAGGCAGGGACUUCUUGGAUGCACUGUUGGAGUAUGAAGGUGAUGGGAAGAAUGGACCUGAUGAGAUCUCAGCCCACAGAAGACUCAUCAUCAUACUGGUAACCAAUCAUAUCUAAAAUUUCGUGCUUUAUAUACUUUUUUGAUAAUUUUAUAUAAAACUAUAUACAUUUUAGAAGUCUAAUUUGAUUAAAAUUAAAUUCUAUUGCUACCGAAUCGAUUAAAUUUAUUUGGAUUAAAAUUAUUUAUUUAAAUUAAAAUUAAAUUCUAUUUAUAUCCUGUUCAUCUAUAUAAAAAAUAAAAUAUACAUUCACGCCAAUUAAGAUUUUCUAAAUGAGAAGAGUAUAUUGCUACUCGUCUAAACAUUAAUUGAUUACUUUUUUUUUUUUUUUAUACACGAUGUGCAGGAAAUAUUCUUGCUGGGACAGAAACUACAAGCGGCACCAUUGAAUGGACACUGGCGGAGCUGUUCCGCCACCCAGAAUCAAUGAGAAGAGUUAAAGAAGAGCUUAAUCGAGUAGUGGGGUCGAAGAGAAAAGUUGAGGAGAGUGACAUAGAUGAAUUGCCAUAUCUACGUGCAGUGAUCAAAGAGUCGAUGAGAUUACAUCCUGCACUCCCAUUAUUGGUUCCAAGAAAC
rnacentral:lncRNA from 1 species